GGUUAAGCGACUAAGCGUACACGGUGGAUGCCCUGGCAGUCAGAGGCGAUGAAGGACGUGCUAAUCUGCGAAAAGCGUCGGUAAGGUGAUAUGAACCGUUAUAACCGGCGAUGUCCGAAUGGGGAAACCCAGUGCAAUUCGUUGCACUAUCGUUAACUGAAUACAUAGGUUAACGAGGCGAACCGGGGGAACUGAAACAUCUAAGUACCCCGAGGAAAAGAAAUCAACCGAGAUUCCCCCAGUAGCGGCGAGCGAACGGGGAGCAGCCCAGAGUCUGAAUCAGCUUGUGUGUUAGUGGAACGGUCUGGAAAGUCCGACGGUACAGGGUGAUAGUCCCGUACACCAAAAUGCACAGGCUGUGAACUCGAAGAGUAGGGCGGGAAACGUGGUAUCCUGUCUGAAUAUGGGGGGACCAUCCUCCAAGGCUAAAUACUCCUGACUGACCGAUAGUGAACCAGUACCGUGAGGGAAAGGCGAAAAGAACCCCGGCGAGGGGAGUGAAAAAGAACCUGAAACCGUGUACGUACAAGCAGUGGGAGCACCUUCGGGUGUGACUGCGUACCUUUUGUAUAAUGGGUCAGCGACUUAUAUUCUGUAGCAAGGUUAACCGUAUAGGGGAGCCGCAGGGAAACCGAGUCUUAACUGGGCGUUAAGUUGCAGGGUAUAGACCCGAAACCCGGUGAUCUAGCCAUGGGCAGGUUGAAGGUUGGGUAACACUAACUGGAGGACCGAACCGACUAAUGUUGAAAAAUUAGCGGAUGACUUGUGGCUGGGGGUGAAAGGCCAAUCAAACCGGGAGAUAGCUGGUUCUCCCCGAAAGCUAUUUAGGUAGCGCCUCGUGAACUCAUCUUCGGGGGUAGAGCACUGUUUCGGCUAGGGGGUCAUCCCGACUUACCAACCCGAUGCAAACUACGAAUACCGAAGAAUGUUAUCACGGGAGACACACGGCGGGUGCUAACGUCCGUCGUGAAGAGGGAAACAACCCAGACCGCCAGCUAAGGUCCCAAAGUCAUGGUUAAGUGGGAAACGAUGUGGGAAGGCACAGACAGCCAGGAUGUUGGCUUAGAAGCAGCCAUCAUUUAAAGAAAGCGUAAUAGCUCACUGGUCGAGUCGGCCUGCGCGGAAGAUGUAACGGGGCUAAACCAUGCACCGAAGCUGCGGCAGCGACACUAUGUGUUGUUGGGUAGGGGAGCGUUCUGUAAGCCUGCGAAGGUGUGCUGUGAGGCAUGCUGGAGGUAUCAGAAGUGCGAAUGCUGACAUAAGUAACGAUAAAGCGGGUGAAAAGCCCGCUCGCCGGAAGACCAAGGGUUCCUGUCCAACGUUAAUCGGGGCAGGGUGAGUCGACCCCUAAGGCGAGGCCGAAAGGCGUAGUCGAUGGGAAACAGGUUAAUAUUCCUGUACUUGGUGUUACUGCGAAGGGGGGACGGAGAAGGCUAUGUUAGCCGGGCGACGGUUGUCCCGGUUUAAGCAUGUAGGCUGGUUGUCCAGGCAAAUCCGGAUAAUCAAGGCUGAGGUGUGAUGACGAGGCACUACGGUGCUGAAGUAACAAAUGCCCUGCUUCCAGGAAAAGCCUCUAAGCAUCAGGUAACAUCAAAUCGUACCCCAAACCGACACAGGUGGUCAGGUAGAGAAUACCAAGGCGCUUGAGAGAACUCGGGUGAAGGAACUAGGCAAAAUGGUGCCGUAACUUCGGGAGAAGGCACGCUGGUGUGUAGGUGAAGCCCCUGCGGGUGGAGCUGAGACCAGUCGAAGAUACCAGCUGGCUGCAACUGUUUAUUAAAAACACAGCACUGUGCAAACACGAAAGUGGACGUAUACGGUGUGACGCCUGCCCGGUGCCGGAAGGUUAAUUGAUGGGGUUAUCCGUAAGGAGAAGCUCUUGAUCGAAGCCCCGGUAAACGGCGGCCGUAACUAUAACGGUCCUAAGGUAGCGAAAUUCCUUGUCGGGUAAGUUCCGACCUGCACGAAUGGCGUAAUGAUGGCCAGGCUGUCUCCACCCGAGACUCAGUGAAAUUGAACUCGCUGUGAAGAUGCAGUGUACCCGCGGCAAGACGGAAAGACCCCGUGAACCUUUACUAUAGCUUGACACUGAACAUUGAGCCUUGAUGUGUAGGAUAGGUGGGAGGCUUUGAAGCGUGGACGCCAGUCUGCGUGGAGCCAACCUUGAAAUACCACCCUUUAAUGUUUGAUGUUCUAACGUUGGCCCCUUACCGGGGUUGCGGACAGUGUCUGGUGGGUAGUUUGACUGGGGCGGUCUCCUCCCAAAGCGUAACGGAGGAGCACGAAGGUUAGCUAAUCCUGGUCGGACAUCAGGAGGUUAGUGCAAUGGCAUAAGCUAGCUUGACUGCGAGCGUGACGGCGCGAGCAGGUGCGAAAGCAGGUCAUAGUGAUCCGGUGGUUCUGAAUGGAAGGGCCAUCGCUCAACGGAUAAAAGGUACUCCGGGGAUAACAGGCUGAUACCGCCCAAGAGUUCAUAUCGACGGCGGUGUUUGGCACCUCGAUGUCGGCUCAUCACAUCCUGGGGCUGAAGUAGGUCCCAAGGGUAUGGCUGUUCGCCAUUUAAAGUGGUACGCGAGCUGGGUUUAGAACGUCGUGAGACAGUUCGGUCCCUAUCUGCCGUGGGCGCUGGAGAAUUGAGGGGGGCUGCUCCUAGUACGAGAGGACCGGAGUGGACGCAUCACUGGUGUUCGGGUUGUCAUGCCAAUGGCACUGCCCGGUAGCUAAAUGCGGAAGAGAUAAGUGCUGAAAGCAUCUAAGCACGAAACUUGCCCCGAGAUGAGUUCUCCCUGAGACUUUAAGUCUCCUGAAGGAACGUUGAAGACGACGACGUUGAUAGGCCGGGUGUGUAAGCGCAGCGAUGCGUUGAGCUAACCGGUACUAAUGAACCGUGAGGCUUAACCUU
rnacentral:rRNA from 1 species